rnacentral:rRNA from 1 species
AGUGAACGCUGGCGGUAGGCCUAACACAUGCAAGUCGAACGGCAGCACAGUAAGAGCUUGCUCUUACGGGUGGCGAGUGGCGGACGGGUGAGGAAUACAUCGGAAUCUACUUUUUCGUGGGGGAUAAUGUAGGGAAACUUACGCUAAUACCGCAUACGACCUACGGGUGAAAGCAGGGGAUCUUCGGACCUUGCGCGAUUGAAUGAGCCGAUGUCGGAUUAGCUAGUUGGCGGGAUAAAGGCCCACCAAGGCGACGAUCCGUAGCUGGUCUGAGAGGAUGAUCGGCCACACUGGAACUGAGACACGGUCCAGACUCCUACGGGAGGCGGCAGUGGGGAAUAUUGGACAAUGGGCGCAAGCCUGAUCCAGCCAUACCGCGUGGGUGAAGAAGGCCUUCGGGUUGUAAAGCCCUUUUGUUGGGAAAGAAAAGCAGCAGGUUAAUACCCCGCUGUUCUGACGGUACCCAAAGAAUAAGCACCGGCUAACUUCGUG